CAUUCUUCUUGAAUUCUCCUUACCAGUUUUUCCAUCCACCCAGUGAAAUGCAUGUAUUUCAUUAGAAUAUGAAUGAGAAGCCCUUAGGGAGAAUGCUGUCAUGGCAACAGUCGCCAUGGCAACUGUUAAUUAAUUGGAUGCUGAUGAAGUGGAGGAAGAAAAAAAGCCACCCAGAACGGAUACAACUCUAGAGGAAGUCAUGAGAGCCAAUUACUGGUUUUGCUGAUAGAACUGAAGACAGAGUGGAGGAAGGGUAAAAGAAGAAAGGCACGCAUGAAUCAAUGCUCUGCUUCCAAUAAUAAUCCAGGCCAUCUGGUCUGACUUUCCUGCCUCACCCAGAAAUACCCAAAGCACCUAGGAGAAGGCGCACAGAAACCAGAGCCCUAUGUGAUAAUUUCGAUCUGCAGUCCGUCUGGAAUUGAUUCGUGUUCCUCUCCAGUGACUGCCUGCCUGCUCCAUGGCCAGCGUCUACCGGUUCUUCAUCCAACCCUUAAUCUUCAACCAGAAGCCAAAAGCUCAGAAUUUUUGUUUUGACUAUUAUGAUUAAAGAAAUGUCAUCUUGGGAAAAGUAUAACCACUUUACAUUCCAAUAUGUAUGUCUGGAGACUAAAAAGCUUCCAGAAAUCUAAAAGCAUCUUCAUCCACAAAAAAACAGACGGCAUAGAUUGUAAAGUGUUACUUCAAAUCUUUUUAAAAUAAGACAUUUU